rnacentral:rRNA from 1 species
UACGUAGGGGGGCAAGCGUUGUCCGGAAUCAUUGGGCGUAAAGAGCGUGUAGGCGGCCCGGUAAGUCCGCUGUGAAAGUCCAGGGCUCAACCCUGGGAUGCCGGUGGAUACUGUCGGGCUGAGUCCGGAAGAGGAGUGUGGAAUUCCAGGUGUAGCGGUGAAAUGCAUAGAUAAUCAGGAGGAACACCAAUGGCGAAGGCA